AACGAACGCUGGCGGCAGGCUUAACACAUGCAAGUCGAGCGGAGCGAGGGUGCUUGCACCUUAGCUUAGCGGCGGACGGGUGAGUAAUGCUUAGGAAUCUGCCUAUUAGUGGGGGACAACAUUCCGAAAGGAAUGCUAAUACCGCAUACGCCCUACGAGGGAAAGCAGGGGAUCUUCGGACCUUGCGCUAAUAGAUGAGCCUAAGUCGGAUUAGCUAGUUGGUGGGGUAAAGGCCUACCAAGGCGACGAUCUGUAGCGGGUCUGAGAGGAUGAUCCGCCACACUGGGACUGAGACACGGCCCAGACUCCUACGGGAGGCAGCAGUGGGGAAUAUUGGACAAUGGGCGGAAGCCUGAUCCAGCCAUGCCGCGUGUGUGAAGAAGGCCUUUUGGUUGUAAAGCACUUUAAGCGAGGAGGAGGCUACUUAGAUUAAUACUCUGGGAUAGUGGACGUUACUCGCAGAAUAAGCACCGGCUAACUCUGUGCCAGCAGCCGCCGUAACAC
rnacentral:rRNA from 1 species